GAUGAAGAACGCAGCGAAAUGCGAUAAGUAAUGUGAAUUGCAGAAUUCAGUGAAUCAUCGAAUCUUUGAACGCACAUUGCGCCCCUUGGUAUUCCGGGGGGCAUGCCUGUUCGAGCGUCAUUUCAACCCUCAAGCUCUGCUUGGUAUUGGGCACCGUCCUUUGCGGGCGCGCCUCAAAGACCUCGGCGGUGGCGUCUUGCCUCAAGCGUAGUAGAAUACACCUCGCUUCGGAGCGUAAGGCGUCGCCCGCCGGACGAACCUUCUGAACUUUUCUCAAGGUUGACCUCGGAUAAGGUAGGGAUACCCGCUGAACUUAAGCAUAUCAAUAAGCGGAGGA
rnacentral:misc_RNA from 1 species